CAGCCGCCGCGGUAAAACGAAGGGUGCAAGCGUUACUCGGAAUUAUUGGGCGUAAAGCGUGCGUAGGUGGUGGUUUAAGUCCGUUGUGAAAGCCCUGGGCUCAACCUGGGAAUUGCAGUGGAUACUGGGUCACUAGAGUGUGGUAGAGGAUAGUGGAAUUUCCGGUGUAGCAGUGAAAUGCGUAGAGAUCGGAAGGAACAUCUGUGGCGAAGGCGACUAUCUGGGCCAACACUGACACUGAGGCACGAAAGCGUGGGGAGCAAACAGGAUUAGAUACCCGCGUAGUCCCUGUCUCUUAUAC
rnacentral:rRNA from 1 species